rnacentral:rRNA from 1 species
GAGUUUGAUCAUGGCUCAGGAUGAACGCUGGCGGCGUGCCUAAUACAUGCAAGUAGAACGCUGAAGCUUGGUGCUUGCACCGAGCGGAUGAGUUGCGAACGGGUGAGUAACGCGUAGGUAACCUGCCCGGUAGCGGGGAUAACUAUUGGAAACGAUAGCUAAUACCGCAUAACAGUAGAUAUUGCAUGAUAUCUGCUUGAAAGGUGCAAUUGCAUCACUACCAGAUGGACCUGCGUUGUAUUAGCUAGUUGGUGAGGUAACGGCUCACCAAGGCGACGAUACAUAGCCGACCUGAGAGGGUGAUCGGCCACACUGGGACUGAGACACGGCCCAGACUCCUACGGGAGGCAGCAGUAGGGAAUCUUCGGCAAUGGGGGAACCCUGACCGAGCAACGCCGCGUGAGUGAAGAAGGUUUUCGGAUCGUAAAGCUCUGUUGUAAGAGAAGAACGAGUGUGAGAGUGGAAAGUUCACACUGUGACGGCAUCUUACCAGAAAGGG